rnacentral:rRNA from 1 species
UACGGAGGAUGCGAGCGUUAUCCGGAUUUAUUGGGUUUAAAGGGUGCGCAGGCGGACUGUUAAGUCAGCGGUAAAAUGUCGGUGCUCAACACCGGCCGGCCGUUGAAACUGGCAGCCUUGAGUGAGCGAGAAGUAUGCGGAAUGCGUGGUGUAGCGGUGAAAUGCAUAGAGAUCACACAGAACACCGAUUGCGAAGGCAGCUUACAAAUCUAUAUCGGACGCUGAGGCACGAAAGCGUGGGGAGCAAACAGG